rnacentral:rRNA from 1 species
AACUUUCAACAACGGAUCUCUUGGUUCUGGCAUCGAUGAAGAACGCAGCAAAAUGCGAUAAGUAAUGUGAAUUGCAGAAUUCAGUGAAUUAUCGAAUCUUUGAACGCACAUUGCGCCCGCCAGUAUUCUGGCGGGCAUGCCUGUUCGAGCGUCAUUU